UUUACAAACAAAUUUCUUGUUUAGUGAGGCACAUGCAAUGUAAGUGAAUGGGAUCAAAUUUUGAAGGCCAUAGGUCAAGCCAUCCAAAAAGCACCAGUAUGAACACAAAGAGGUCUGAGACCAUAUUCUUCCUUAAGUGGACCAAAAAAGGAUCUGAGUCCUCUUUCAGGUACAAGGACAGUGUGAACGUAAGGAGAACUGGGUCCUUUUUCACUGGGUUCACCUCUUGGUCCACUUAAAGGGGUCUGAGUUUGUUUCUUUUAAAGAGGACCCAAGUGUGAAAACACCCUUAGUCUUCAAAAUGUAUACAUGUUGUGUUAACUUGUAAAGAUUAUCUUGACAGACAAAACAUGUAAGAGUCACAACCCUUUGUUAAACACAGAGGUUAUUUUUUGUGAUUUUCCAAAAGUCUAUGGGAAAAAUGCAUUGGCUUUCUAUCGAGGGAACCCAUGCGCCACUAACUUCCGGGUUGGCCUACAAAAACAAGUCAUCCCUGAGGUACUCUAUGAUGCUGAAAAUUCAGCUUCGCCAUCACAGAAAUAAAUAUUUAAAAAAUAUUAGUUUUUUUUUUUUUUUUUAAUUGAAAUAGUUCACAGUAUUACUGUUUUAACUGUAUUUUUUGACCAAAUAGGUGAGCAUAAAAGACUUCUUUCAAAAGCAUUAUAAAAUCUUAUGUUUAAUAUUAGAUAUUCAGCAGAUAUAAGCUUAUAAUGCGGUUCAUUCAGUCUUUCGCAACUUUUAGCUUUAUAAUUGUGUGACCCAGUGGAAAAAGAAACAUACGCACACCACGAGAAGUUCACUAUAAAGCGAUUAAGAGUUUGUGUGCUGGAGUCAGUGCACGAUCUGGACAAUUCUUCUUCCUUCAGUUCUCUGCCAAAGUCAACUGGAAACCUGGACAUGUCUCAACAAUAAGCCAUGAAAGGACUUUUCAAAACAGAAGGAAAAAUGUAUUGAACGAGAAAAGGUCUACAGUAAAUUAAGGAUCAUUGGAAUCAUUAAAAGAAAUCUUAUGGGUCACGCUACUGAGCCUGCUAUCGAACGGUUAGAGGAAAUUGAUGGUCAUAAAGUGACUAUUAAUUUUCCAGAGUGAAUACAAGCAUGAAUACAAUGGGCCAGCGAAUAUCAAUCCAACUAUGAUCGGGCAGGCCAAAUAAUGAGAGAAGCAUGCGGUAAAUGAUGACGUCACAGAACCAACCAGCGAACCGGAACCACAUCGCCAUCUUGAGGCUGAACCACAGCACAACACAAACACAGAGUUCUGCUGAUUCAUUUAUAAAGGAUGUGAGAAUGACUUUCAACAAAAAACAGGUUAUUUCUCAUUGUACGCAAUGCUAAUGUAUACACUACUGUGCUAGAAGACUUAGUCUGUUAAUAGCAAUGGUUAAUGUGUAUGUAACUGCAACUCCAAUUGUGAUUUACGUCACGUGUUACUAUAGUGACUUCUGAAUGACUGGAACAUUGUUGGCCAGUAAGCAAAGGCUGGGGGAGAUAUCCUUUUUAGUUGCUAAAUCAAUUAAAAUGCUAUAAAAUUCACAGAGACAGUAUUAUUUGAAAGAUUUUAUUAAUUUAUAAUACAAGAUUUAGGGUUUUUUUUUUUUUUUUUACAUGUAAUAAUUUGUAGCUAAUUUUCAUAGCAGUGACAAUGAUAAACACUCUUGCAGUAAUUGGCCAAUCAAAAGAAGAUUGGAGACGGUUUCUGUGGUCGCUUUCCACAAAAGCCUCAUCCUCU